rnacentral:misc_RNA from 1 species
AUUCAAAACACUUUAAAUUAAUUUUCUGGCUUCACUGCUAUCAAGCUCUUUAAGGAUGAGUUUUGCAAAGUUUGGAUUACUUGAUCAUUUGAAUCUUAAUUUAAGCUUUGGUCAAGGAUAUCAUCAAUCUGAACGUCUUGAUUCCUGCAACCGCAAAACCAUUUAUUACUGCAAAUUUUUAAUCCUGCUCCAACAGUAUCUAAUGCUAAUUCUAAGUCUGCAUAGAGCUGUCGAUACAUGCUGUUGAGGGAAAUUAAG